GGCGAGUCACGGCUCGCCAUUGGCUGGACGAGGGCGAGGGGCGUGGCUUACAGUGAUCGCCCGGUUGUGUCCGGGUAAGAUGGCGUUGGAAGAGCAGUGCUCGGCACCACCCCGAUGGCGGUCCAUAUCGGUGACACACGUCGAGUUUCCCGAGGAUGAUUUGACAGGACAGGUGCUCGCCUACAUCAGUCUCUUUCCCAUUGCCAUCAUUGUGGGCUUUAUUACGCUCAUCAUGUUUAAACGGGAGCUUCACACGAUUUCCUUCUUCAGCGGUUUCCUCCUCAAUGAAGGACUGAACUGGACGCUAAAGCGCAUUCUCAGAGAGCCGCGGCCAUGUGCGGGAGCUCACUCGUUGCUGAGCUCGGAUUACGGAAUGCCCUCCAGUCAUUCGCAGCUCAUCUGGUUCUUCGUUGUUUACUUCUUUCUUUUCCUUUAUUUAAGAAUGCAUCAAACGAACAAUGCCCGAUGUGUGGACCUGCUCUGGAGACACAUCCUGUCCAUCGUCCUGCUGGGCAUCGCCUUAUCAGUCUCAUACAGCAGGGUGUACCUGCUGUAUCACACCUGGAGUCAGGUGUUCUACGGCGGAGUGGCCGGCAGCACCGUCGGCAUCGUCUGGUUCUUCCUGACACAAGAGGUGCUGACCCCGUUAUUCCCCAAAAUAGCAGCGUGGCCCGUGUCCGAGUACUUCCUGGUGCGCGACACCAGCCUGAUUCCCAACAUCUUGUGGUUUGAGUACACAGUGACCCGCUCGGAGGCCAGGAACAGACAGCGGAAGCUCGGAACAAAACUUCAGUGAUGCGCUGGGCUUCUUUUGAAAGCACCAAACAUGGAACAUUGAAAGCUGGAAGAAAGUUUUCUUCUCUGUUGACGGUCCUGAUUGCUUCCAGUGUUACUGGCAUGACAAGGAGAUCCCACCUGAGAUGUUUUCCAUAUGGCACAGCGGAGGGGGCGCCAUCAUGAUCCUUCAAUGGAACGAUGGAGAUCCAACAGUGCAAAAUGCUCCUUUUCCCUGCUUUGUCAUCUGCUUCCGAGUCAGCCUUUGCUAUCUUUUGUGUGCUGGUUACCACGGCAACCGUCUUGUUACCAAAGGAGCCACAUGGGACUAAAAGAAAGAUCCAUCGGACCUGGAGAAGAGUGGAAAGUAUAUGGAGGAUAUUGUCAUUUAAAAAAGAAAUAAGCAUGUUGCAUUGUUAUGCAUCAUUUGAGAGAUAAACCGCCUACUAUAAUAAUAAAAAAAAUCAAACCCUGAGAAAGAAAUGAAAAUUUUAAGAACUUGAGUAACAUUUUUAGAAUUUUUAAUAAUGAUCUGUAUGUUAAUUUCUUUUAUUAUAUUGAAUUAGUUUAGCUUUUAGUGAGGCCUUUGACAGGUUUAAUUAACAGUGAUAUAUAAAUAUAUGUCAAAAAUCUUAAUGCUGAGAGUAAUUAUUGUAAAAUUACAUUAUUUUAUUACCUUGAGUAACAUUUUUACAACUUUCAAUCAUUAUCAAUAUAUUCAUGACCAUGAUGUAGCAAUACUGUGCAUCAGCAAUUUCUAUAUAUAAUUAACAUAUCAUGUAUAAUUAUUUUGCUUUGUCGUGGGGACGUUUAGAGGUUUAAUUACUAAUUAUACUGUAUAUAAACACAAUUCUUGUAAAAUGACAAGAAUAUUUGAUGAACAUUUGUAUGCUUUGGUUUAUUGUCAAUAUGCUCAUGACAGAGAUAUAGCGAUGUGUAUGCUGAAUUAUCUUUGCUUUAAUGACUAAGUCUGUAUAAAUACAGUAUGUUAUGACGCAGUAUUAGGGCCACGUUGAAAAACUAUUUCGAGAAUACAUUUAUGAGAAUGAAGUCGUAAAUGUACAAGAAUAAAGUUGGGUAACACUUUACAAUAACAAUUACACCAAAUUACAGUAGUUCAUGAGGAACUAACCUACCUAACCCUAACCAACACUCAUUAGUUACUCAUUAGUUCUUCAUUAGUUCCUCAGUGACUAGUCUAAAUGUAUGUGCCAUAGUCAUUAGUUACUCGUUAGUUCUUCAUUAGUUCCUCAGUGACUAGUCUAAAUGUAUGUGCCAUAGUCAUUAGUUCCUCAUUAGUUCUUCAUUAGUUCCUCAGUGAUUAGUCUAAAUUGAUUUGCCAUAGUCAUUAGUUCCUCAUUAGUUCUUCAUUAGUUCCUCUGUGACUAGUCUAAAUGUAUGUGCCAUAGUCAUUAGUUACUUACUAGUUCUUCAUUAGUUUCUCAGUGACUAGUCUAAAUGUAUGUGCCAUAGUCAUUAGUUACUUAUUAGUUCUUCAUUAGUUCCUCAGUGACUAGUCUAAAUGUAUGUGCCAUAGUCAUUAGUUACUUAUUAGUUCUUCAUUAGUUCCUCAGUGACUAGUCUAAAUGUAUGUGCCAUAGUCAUUAGUUACUUAUUAGUUCUUCAUUAGUUCCUCAGUGACUAGUUUAAAUGUGCCAUAGUCAUUAGUUACUUAUUAGUUCUUCAUUAGUUCCUCAGUGACUAGUCUAAAUGUAUGUGCCAUAGUCAUUAGUUACUCAUUAGUUCUUCAUUAGUUCCUCAGUGACUAGUCUAAAUGUAUGUGCCAUAGUCAUUAGUUACUUAUUAGUUCUUCAUUAGUUCCUCAGUGACUAGUCUAAAUGUAUGUGCCAUAGUCAUUAGUUACUCAUUAGUUCUUCAUUAUUUCCUCAGUGAUUAGUCUAAAUUGAUUUGCCAUAGUCAUUAGUUCCUCAUUAUUUACUUCUUAGCUUUUCAUUAGUUCCUCAGUAACUGCUGUAUUUUUGUGUACCUUAUUGUAAAGUGUGACCUAAAGUUGUAAAUGUACGAGAAUAAAGUUGUAACUUUAAGAGAAAAAAAGUCGUAAAUUUACGAGAAAAAUGUACAUUUAUGAUAAUAAAGUUGUGAAUGUACAAGAAAAAACGUAUAUUUAUGAGAAUGAAAGUUGCCCAAGGCCAAAGGUCACAUAAGUCCCCCGUUUUUCCUUAAUUUUCAACUUUAUUAUGGUAAAUUUAGGACUAAUCUCAGAUUAUUUUUUUCAGUGUGGCUCUAAUACUCUGUUGUAGGAUAUACAGUCAAACCUGUCUUAGCGGCCACCUUUAUAGAACGGCCACCUGCCUAUAGCGGCCACUGAAAAAUCCCCCCCCAGCAAAUGUACAUGUUAUAGACCCUGUGUAUAGCAGUCACCUGUCCAACGCGGCCAGCGGCCACCCAUUUUGUCUCCCUUGGUCAAUAUCUGACCGCAUAUAGCGGCCAAAUUACCAACUCAAGUAGAAGCUUCAUGCACGAAAAAGUUUUGUUUUUCAAUCAGUGAAGCCGUCGUGUGUAGACUUUAAUUACUGAGUCCUAGCUCAGUCACAAUCAUUCACAAGAUCCACACAAACUGUCAGUUGUUCCACAUAAAAAAAAGCCGUCUUCUUUGGAGCUUGUUGCAGACAGUGACACCGUUUAUUUCCUGGUGUGAGACAAUGUGCACAAUGUGUGUCAAUACUGUAAUGCCCUUGUUGUGGGGAAGGAGAGACUCACGUCGCCGAUGCACUUUAAUCGCUUAAUUAACAGCGGUUUAUCAACCUAGUAUUUCUUUACAACUUUUAUCCGCAGUCCCACAGUGCCCUCUACUGGUCAACAUGUAACAGUAUAAUUAUAUGUAUCUGCAAACACAACAAGCUUCUAAUCACAGACAUGUUAAUAUGUGCGCACAAAUUCAAAAUGGCCACCAACCUGUCUAUAACGGCCACUUUUGCCGUUUCCCUUUAGUGGCCGCUAUAGACAGGUUUGACUGUACAUUAAAACAUGUAACGAGAGUAAUUAUUGUUAACUGACAAGAAUAUUUGAUUUUUAUAUUUGGGAUCAUGAUCAAUAUGUCAACGAGAGUGAUGGAGCAAUUUGUUCUUUCUUUUAUUCUAUGCAUGAUUUUUGCUUUAUGGUGAGGUUUCAUGACCAAUUCUACAUUUAAAAAUAUGAACCCAGGGAGUAAUUACCAUCACAUUCCGAGACUGCUUUCUUAACUAGGCAACAUUUUUGUAGUCAUGAUGAGUGUGUUCCGUAGCAAAAUAUGAUCAAGUUCUUUUAUGAUAUGGAAUUAUUUUUGUCUUUAUAGUGAGGUCUUGUGUGCUCCAAUCACAAAUCAUAGAAUAAAAACAUCUAACCUGAUAUACUGUAUAUAUAUAAACAUUUCUAGAUGUUCAUGACAGCAGUUUGUGAUUGUAUUUGGUUCUGCCUGACAGUGAGGCCAGUGUGACGUUUAGGAACUAUAGCGCCUAGAUCAGGGGUGGGCAAAUGUUUUGACUCACGGGCCGCAAUGACUUAAAAAAAUUGUCCGGGGGUGCCAGACUAUAUAUUUGAUACAUGCACACUAUUUUACGCUUAUAAUUCUGACAGUCCACUUGGAAUUAGUGUCAUCCAAUGUGCUAGGGGCACUUUAAACAUCAGACCACAUCAAACAACAACUGAAUUUUACAUUUUUUUUCUACUGAAUUAAGGAUGUGAUAUACAAUGUGAACAAUGAACGCUGAAACAUUGACUAUUAAAAAAUAUGUGAACGCCCCUCCUUUUUUACUGUGCGGACAGUGCAGUGGGGAGGUUACAGUAAAUUGUGUGUCACAUAUUUUUCGAGGUAGUUUAGAGGUAUCGCUGUAUGUGAAAAGCUAUUUAAACCAUCAAAAGGUUGUCUCAGCUUGACUUUAACUACUUGCAAGCCAUGUUGCCAGCUUGUAUGUUUAAGGUUUAAAUACUUUGGAAGCAACUGGCGGGCCGGAUUCAAACGCUUGGCGGGCCGCAUGUGGCCCCCAGGCCGUAGUUUGCCCACCCCUGGCCUAGAUCUAUAAGAGAUUCAAAUCCAAAUGAUUUGUUUCUGUCAGCUUAUUGAUAUCAAUAUUCACCUGUGUUGGAGCUUUUUGGCUUUGUUGAAGCCACCGUUCUGGAGUCCAAGUAGUCUCACCCUUUCACCUUGAACUCACCUUCACAGCGCUGAAAAAGUGCUUGUGACUUUUGCACACAACUUAUUUGUAUUUUUUCUGCACUGCCAACUUCUACUCAUCAUAUUCAUGGAAUACAAAAAAAGACCCCCACUGCCCCACAACCUCCCGUACAAGCUCACCCUCAUCAAUUUGGCGUCAGGCAGGAGAUGACAAACGUUGGAUGAUUACACUGACACCAAUAAAUAAAGGAAACCCCCCCGAUGAAUACAAACCACUCCCACAGGAGCAAACAUCUCAACACAAAACCAAACCAAACAAAGCGUCCAUGGAAAUAGAAACACUUUGUGGCAGGGUCACACUAUGGCCGCCAUAAGAAAGCUUUAUUAGGCGUCCAAUCACAGCAUGAAUCACAUGUUAACAUGCCUGACUGUCCUGCAAGUGUAAAAAGAAGUGAAGCAGUAACAUUGAUGCCUUGUGACCUUUGCAGCUUACGGCACCUGCCACUCUCUUUGGCUCCAUGGUCGGUUACUCACAUUUAAAACAAAUAAAAGGCAGAGG